GUUUUGGGCAAAGUAAAAAAUUCUAGCACUGGUUCUCAUCUGAUCACCAAAGUUAAGCAACAUUGUGUCUAGUGAGUACUUAGAUGGGUCACGACUUGGGAAACCUAGAUGCUGUAAGCA
rnacentral:rRNA from 1 species